GUAGAAAUCUACCCUCGGGACGGGGAUAGCGGCGGGAAACUGCCAGUAAUACCCGAUAACGUCUUUGGACCAAAGGUGUGAUUCCGCCUGAGGAUGAGUCUACUUCCUAUUAGCUAGUUGGUGGGGUAAUGGCCUACCAAGGCAACGAUGGGUAGCAGGUGUGAGAGCACGACCUGCCUCAUUGGGACUGAGACACUGCCCAGACACCUACGGGUGGCUGCAGUCGAGAAUCUUCGGCAAUGGACGAAAGUCUGACCGAGCGACGCCGCGUGCGGGAUGAAGGCCUUCGGGUUGUAAACCGCUGUCGUAGGGGAACAAGUUUACGGGGGUUAUCCCCUGUAAUUGAGUGAUCCUAGGAGGAAGGGGAGGCUAAGCUCGUGCCAGCAGCCGCGGUAAGACGAGCUCCCCAAACGUUAUUCGGUAUCACUGGGCUUAAAGAGUUCGUAGGCGGUCUGGUAGGUGAGGUGUGAAAUCCCCCGGCUCAACCGGGGAACUGCGCUUCAAACCACUAGACUU
rnacentral:rRNA from 1 species